ACAAGAAAGCCGCAUUUCAGUAAUGCGGAUGUGAUGUCAGCGCCGUACGUGCAAAGAGCCCAUUGGUUAGCGCUGACCAGAGCGGUUGACUCUGACUCCCUGCUAUUUCAGAACUUUCCCGAACCGCGGGGGUUGCUGCUUCGAUCGGGAGACAGAAUGUGAAUGAUGCAAAAUGAAAAACCAAGCUGGUAGAUCACAGACCGAACAGAGCGCAGCUGAAGCAGGACAAUGCUUGCAGGCAUUACUGAACAGAGCAAAAUAGAGAGGUUCAGAACAUGAGUAUGGAGAGACAAGCGAGUGUCCAGAUGGCCAGGUAGGAAAGGAAGUGUUGCUUUUAAGGGCAACACUUCCUUUAACUAUAUUUCUGUAAGUCAGUUUCUUUAGUG